CGCCUUGCCAGCCCGCUCAGAAACUCAAAUGAAUUGACGGGGACCCGCACAAGCAGCGGAGCGUGUGGUUUAAUUCGUUGCUACACGAAGAACCUUACCUGGGUUUGACAUAUAGGUUGUAGGGAACUGAAAAGGGACCGACCCUUCGGGGAGCCUAUACAGGUGUUGCAUGGCUGUCGUCAGCUCGUGUCGUGAGAUGUUCGGUUAAGUCCGCUAACGAGCGCAACCCUCGUCGUAUGUUAUAUGUGUCAUACGAGACUGCCGGUAAAAAGCCGGAGGAAGGUGAGGAUGAUGUCAAGUCAGCAUGACCUUUAUAUCCAGGGCUACACACACGCUACAAUGGUCUGUACAAUGGGUAGCCAAGCCGCGAGGCGGUGCCAAUCCUGAAAGCAGGCCUCAGUUCAGAUUGCAGUCUGCAACUCGACUGCAUGAAGCCGGAGUUGCUAGUAACCGCAGGUCAGCAAUACUGCGGUGAAUACGUUCCCGGGUCUU
rnacentral:rRNA from 1 species